GCCCGGCUGGCUCAAUGGCAGAGCGCUAGACUUCUAUGUUCUAAUCAGAACAAGCAAUCUUGAGGUUGUGGGUUCGACUCCCACGUCGGGUG
rfam:Chaetomium globosum CBS 148.51 scaffold_4 genomic scaffold, whole genome shotgun sequence.